GACGAACGCUGGCGGCGUGCUUAACACAUGCAAGUCGAACGGAAAGGCCCUGCUUUUGUGGGGUGCUCGAGUGGCGAACGGGUGAGUAACACGUGAGUAACCUGCCCUUGACUAUGGGAUAACUUCAGGAAACUGGGGCUAAUAACGGAUAGGAGCUCCUGCUGCAUGGUGGUGGUUGGAAAGUUUCGGCGGUUGGGGAUGGACUCGCAGCUUAUCAGCUUGUUGGUGGGGUAGUGGCUUACCAAGGCUUUGACGGGUAGCCGGCCUGAGAGGGUGACCGGCCACAGUGGGACUGAGAUACGGCCCAGACUCCUACGGGAGGCAGCAGUGGGGAAUAUUGCACAAUGGGCGGAAGCCUGAUGCAGCAACGCCGCGUGCGGGAUGACGGCCUUCGGGUUGUAAACCGCUUUCGCCUGUGACGAAGCGUGAGUGACGGUAAUGGGUAAAGAAGCACCGGCUAACUACGUG
rnacentral:rRNA from 1 species